GCUGCCAAACCCCGAGUUACAGUUCAGCCCAGAGUGGCAAGGCUGGCUCCUCAGUGAUGCUUCCCUCACCAGCCCAAGGGAAGUUUGGGGCUGAGAGAAAUGCAGAGCAGCCCUCCUCCAGAUGGGACACCCAGCUGUCACCUGGAAGCUGUACUUCCUUUCUUUGCAGAACAAAAAAGCAAAGUCCGUUGCUCACCCUGCUCAGCUGCAGAUGGCCACACUCAACAAAAGGCAGCAAGACCCAAGGAGAUCAACCUCCAUUGCAUAUCAGCCAGCCCCCAGGUUAAGCUACAGAGAAACAAGCGACAGGAGCAAGAGUGCUGCUUCAGUGGGAACCUGGUAACCUGCACCAGGCAGAUGGAGACAGAGGCUGGGGAUGCUCAACGUAUACCAAUGCAGAAGUCCAGAAGAAGCUAAUGGUUCAACACUAAGUUGCUGUUGCUCAAAUCAGUCCUCGUGCCACAGAAGAGUCUUCGGAGACACGACUGCUUCAGCCCCUCCGCCUACAGCAUCUUCGUACGUGUGUGCCCGGUGACCGCUUUCUCUCUGCGCCUCCACAAGCAUCAAGCUAUGAGGACAGCAUGAACUUUCCGAGGAGGCUCCCUUCCAUCCUCUGGAAUUUCCCCUCCAAUGUUCAGGAAUUGCUUUAGCACUCUAACUUUUCCCUUUCCUCACAGAACUAAAAUCCAUAUGGUUUGUUCUCUAAGGCCUCAUGCAUGGCAAUU